rnacentral:misc_RNA from 1 species
AAAGUCGUAACAAGGUAACCGUAGGUGAACCUGCGGUUGGAUCAUUACCGAAUAUUUGUAUGUUUAUAUGUAGGGUUGGCUUUGGCCCCUUGCAUAUACUCGUAUAAAAUAAAUGUUUUGUGCAAUAAUGAUGUUUUUUGGGUCGUUCUUUCGGGAGUGGCCCAAAGUAUUAACAAACUAUAUCAAUUUGACUUAUAUCUCUAUGUAAAUAGAAACAACUUUUGACAACGGAUCUCUUGGCUCUC